rnacentral:rRNA from 1 species
GAUGAACGCUAGCGACAGGCUUAACACAUGCAAGUCGAGGGGCAGCAUAAAAGUAGCAAUACUUUGGUGGCGACCGGCGCACGGGUGAGUAACGCGUAUGCAACCUACCUAUCAGAGGGGGAUAACCCGGCGAAAGUCGGACUAAUACCGCAUAAAACAGGGGCACCGCAUGGUGAUAUUUGUUAAAGAUUAAUUGCUGAUAGAUGGGCAUGCGUUCCAUUAGGUAGUUGGUGAGGUAAUGGCUCACCAAGCCGACGAUGGAUAGGGGAACUGAGAGGUUGGUCCCCCACACUGGUACUGAGACACGGACCAGACUCCUACGGGAGGCAGCAGUGAGGAAUAUUGGUCAAUGGGCGAGAGCCUGAACCAGCCAAGUCGCGUGAAGGAAGAAGGAUCUAUGGUUCGUAAACUUCUUUUGCAGGGGAAUAAAGUGGAGGACGUGUCCUCUUUUGUAUGUACCCUGAGAAUAAGGAUCGGCUAACUCCGUGCCAGCAGCCGC